AGUCAACGGUCCGUUGGUGCCGCGAGUGCGCAGGCGCGUCGUUCCGGCGCCGGCUUUGGCGGAGGGGUGGGACUUGCACCGGCGUCUCUUCUAACUGCAGUUUGUGGCAGCGCCAUUUUGAAUGUGCAGUUGCAGCGGGCGUGAGUUGGGGGAGGACGGGUUGCCGACUCGCCUACCUAGCGGUCUCUUGAUUGUCGAUAUUUUGUUGGCAUAGGUUUAUGUAGAGACGUAUACAUAUAUAUAGACACACUGUCUAUAAAUCUAGGCCUGUAUCCGGUGUCCGAGGCGAACUCAGUAAGAUGAUGUUAAGAGGAAACCUGAAGCAAGUGCGCAUUGAGAAAAACCCGGCCCGCCUUCGCGCUCUGGAGUCCGCGGUGGGCGAGAGCGAGCCGGCGGCCGCGGCAGCCAUGGCGCUCGCUCUUGCCGGGGAGCCGGCACCGCCCGCGCCCGCGCCUCCGGAGGACCACCCGGACGAGGAGAUGGGGUUCACUAUCGACAUCAAGAGUUUCCUCAAGCCGGGCGAGAAGACGUACACGCAGCGCUGCCGCCUCUUCGUGGGAAAUCUGCCCACCGACAUCACGGAGGAGGACUUCAAGAGGCUCUUCGAACGCUAUGGCGAGCCCAGCGAAGUCUUCAUCAACCGGGACCGUGGCUUCGGCUUCAUCCGCUUGGAAUCCAGAACCCUGGCUGAAAUUGCAAAAGCAGAGCUGGACGGCACCAUUCUCAAGAGCAGACCUCUACGGAUUCGCUUCGCUACACAUGGAGCAGCCUUGACUGUCAAGAACCUUUCUCCAGUUGUUUCCAAUGAGCUGCUAGAGCAAGCAUUUUCUCAGUUUGGUCCAGUAGAGAAAGCUGUUGUGGUUGUGGAUGAUCGCGGUAGAGCUACAGGAAAAGGUUUUGUAGAGUUUGCAGCAAAACCUCCUGCACGAAAGGCUCUGGAAAGAUGUGGUGAUGGGGCAUUCUUGCUAACAACGACCCCUCGUCCAGUCAUUGUGGAACCUAUGGAGCAGUUUGAUGAUGAAGAUGGCUUGCCAGAGAAGCUGAUGCAGAAAACUCAACAGUAUCAUAAGGAAAGAGAACAACCACCACGUUUUGCUCAACCUGGGACAUUUGAAUUUGAGUAUGCAUCUCGAUGGAAGGCUCUUGAUGAAAUGGAAAAGCAGCAGCGUGAGCAGGUUGAUAGAAACAUCAGAGAAGCCAAAGAGAAACUGGAGGCAGAAAUGGAAGCAGCUAGGCAUGAACACCAAUUAAUGCUAAUGAGGCAAGAUCUAAUGAGGCGUCAAGAAGAACUCAGACGCUUGGAAGAACUCAGAAACCAAGAGUUGCAAAAACGGAAGCAAAUACAACUAAGACAUGAAGAGGAGCAUCGGCGGCGUGAGGAAGAAAUGAUCCGACACAGAGAACAGGAGGAACUGAGGCGACAGCAAGAGGGCUUUAAGCCAAACUACAUGGAAAAUGGUGAUAAAAGAAAAUGUGGCUGAAGUUACCCGAAGUUCAGCUUGCAGUGUAAUUCAGAAGAGUUAAGACCAGAAGUACUGGAAUCAUACUUCCUUUCAGGUCAAAACAUUUUGUGGGAAAUAUCCUGUUCGUGACCUAGGAGAAACAAGACAGAAAACAAAUCUUACUUCAUUUAUGAAUUUCUUACUCCAUACAAGCAGUUUAUGGAUGUCUGGGCAAUCAUAGCACUUGCCAUUUAAAAACAUGCUACAGGGGCACAUUUUCUGUGGUUAAAAAUGAUCUCCAGAAUAAGUGUAAACUGCAGUUUUCCUUUGCAUCGAGGGUUUUGGCUUUUUAUUUGUAAAUUAAAUCAAGAUGUUACCCACUCCUUGGUGUGGUGGUCUUGCUGGUUCGUGUUGGGAAGUAGUAUGGCAGCAACGCACAAAUUCAGAAUAGCCAAGAAAUCCCUCCUUUUCAACGCUCUGUGCCUGGGAACCAUUAGAGGGGUUUUAAAAACCAUCCCUCAUAGCCCACAAUUUUGGGUCAACUCUCAAAAUUGGGAAUAAGAAAACUGGCAUUGUUGGGAGAAAAAUCGUUCUUACUGAAGCAUGAACUGGCUCAGGCAAGCAAAUAGCGGGAGUCGGCACAGGAAGGUGUGCUGCGGGGAUGCGUGGUGGCGUCACCUUCAAAACUAAAGUGGUGCCAGGCGGACAGAUGAGUCCUUGAUCUUGUUUCCUGAUCUUGUUUCCAUUUGACUGAAUUCUGAACCUUCAUUGUCUUCACAGUCUUGCCACUUUCCUAGUGAGGCUUUUCCGAACCUGGAAGGAGACGUCUAGAAAUCCCAGCUUUGCUGUGUAAGGACCAUUAGCUGCAAGUCAGUGGAAGUCUAUAGAAAGCAGUGUGAAUUCCAUAGUGGUCUUGACUUAGCAAGGAUUUGGGAUAAGUCUAAAACUUCAGACUUAAAGCUUUGAAACAUGUUAACUGCAUGAAAUAGUAAACAUUUCGAACUUCUUUAGCCUUUGUCAUUUUGUGACCCAGGUUUUUCAUAGUCUAUGUCUCCUGCUUUUCCUUGUUUUGCUAAUCAUCCUCCUUGAGCUCCACUGUUUUCAUUCUGGGCAUCCAAUCCAGCCUUUCAUGGUGUGUGCUUCAUCAGGCCCCUGGUUCACAUGCUGAGUGCCUUAUAAGCCUGGCCAGCACUAGUAUAUUCUCAUUAACAGUCAGCUUCGUUUGGGAGGGUGCUUCACUUUCAAAGCUACCCAGUAUAAUGCAUACAAUGCAGUACAAGCGGAACUCACUCAGAAGUAGCACCUGAGCUUCAAAUAGACUCUCCUGAUCAUUCUACUGAGUAAGAUUCUCCACAUUUAAGAAUCAAUACAGGAUUUACUUGCGAGGAUAGUGUAUAAAAAUGGAAUAGUUUUUCUAUUUCUGGACUGAAACCAAACUCCUCAUAUCUAAUUGUAGUUAUUCAACAUUAUCAGAAUCCCUAUUUAUUUUGGCAGAACAGACAAAAGGACGUGGAAUGUACUUUCUGCUACAGCCAUUACAGCCAACUAGAUUUGAGUGCUGCCGCUGGUAAGUUAAUUGAAUAGCCAAGUUAUGUUGUCCUUACCCAAGUAGACAGUGGAAAGGAAUAAUGGCAGAGGCCAUGAUGCGAGUCUGGCCACAGCCAUGCAUCCCAUCUGUGGUGAUCUUAGUCCUGAGAUCACCUAUGUCCUAGGCCACGAACUGAAUCAUGUACUAGUACCAUAUCUGACUUCGUAGCUUUCCAGGGGAAAAGACUAGGAGAUCCGGACAUGACUAGGCCUGUGUCCUCAGUCACAUAAGCUGUGCUGCGUACACUUGAACUGCACUACACAAGGUUGCCCUGGGCCUUGACCUGUACUUCUUCUAAACGUUAUAAUAAACCUUUUGGUAAGGUACUGCCUGAGAACUGCUUUGUUUUCCAGAGGGAUCAUUGCUCAGGCUUUUUCCCCCGGAUAAUUUGAACUAUUUGACGAUUCCUAUUUGGUUUGUAUCUGAGAGAGAGAGCCCUGCCUUGCUGAUAAACAGCAGGUCACCUUCUCAUGUGUUCCUCUGAGGCUGUUCAUUCACAUCUGUAGUUGGACUCCUCCUACUGUCUUCUUUACUGCUCCUGACCUGCACUGCUGCUAACUCAAAUCCUCCCUUUUCCCCCAGAAAGCUAUGAAAUCAGAUAUACUACAUGAAUCAAUUUAGUUGAAAAAGUCCAAUCUUGGCCCUCAUUUAGCUAGAAAACCACAAAUAUCUACUGUCUUUUAAAGUUUUGAGACUUGAGAUAUAAAAGGAAACAGACCAACAUCAUAGUGUUUUAUUGACAAAACCAUAGGAAAAGGCAGUUUUAGGAUGUAAAGUAAAAAUGGUUCUCUGAAAUAUCUACACAAACGUGAAUUCUGAAAAGUUUUCAUUAAAAUCGUAUUUCAUACAAUUAUAAACUAAUGAGGAACAAAACAAUUUUCAACUUCUCCAUAACCCAGACUGAGCUUGAUUUAUGCUUGCCAUACAGAAGCAGGAACUCUUCCCAGAGAGGGUGGUGGCUCCCACACAGCUGACAGCCAGGCUUGGCUGUUACCUAAGCCCCAUCUUCCCAGUCGGUGUUCAAAACAAGGGCACAAGGUCUGGCUUUUCAAAAAAAAAAAAAAACAACCAUAUAGAUUCCAAGAAACUUUUUUUUUUUUUUGGAGACAAGGUCUCAUUCUGUCACCCAGGCUGGAGUGCAGUGGCCUUUCACGGCUCACUGCAGCCUUGACCUCCCUGGCUCAAGCAAUCCUUUCACCUCAGCCUCCUGAGUAUCUGGGACUACAGGCUUGUUCCACCCCAUGUUACCCAGGCUGGUCUUGAACUCCUGGACUUAAGCAAUCCUCCAACCUCAGCCUCCAAAGCGCUGGGAUUAUAGGUGUGAGCCACCACGCUCUGCUAAAAGUUCACAUUUAAUACUCUCUUUUAGGUCUCAUAGUGUACUGGUUUACAUUCUUACUACAUCUUAGAUUCUCUUGUUACCCUUUGAAAAGAUGAUAAGUGACUACAGCACAUUUACAAAGUGACUGCCAUCUCCACCUUUUGUGCUUGGGGAAUGUGUGGCAACUGUCUACUAGAAAAAGAUCAGGCCUCCCAACCCUUUGAAGGGCAGCAAACCCACACUUUAUUUGGUGCUUGGGUAACUUGAAUAUAACAUGGCUCCCUUGCUGUAAGCAAAUGUUUUAGAGCUGAAUUUUUCCUUUUUUUUUUUUUUUUUAAGCACAGAAGUUCACCAGGGCUAGUAGAAAAUUUCAAGUUAAGAAAAUAACUCUUGCUGGGUGCAGUGGCUCAUGCCUGUAAUCCAAGCACUUUGGGAGGCCGAGGCGGGCGAAUCACCUGAGGUCAGGAGUUCAAGACCAGCCUGACCAACAUGGAUAAACCCCAUCUCUACUAAAAAUACAAAAUUAGCUGGGUGCCGUGGCGGGUGCCUGUAAUCCCAGCUACUGAGGAGGCUGAGGCAGGAGAAUCACUUGAACCCAGGAGGCAGAGCUUGCAGUGAGCCGAGAUCGCACCAUUGCACUCCAGCCUGGGCAACAAGAGCGAAACUCCGUCUCCAGAAAAAAGAAAGUGAAGUCUUUAAUUUUCUUAAAUAAUCCUCAUAUGUACUAUCCACAUUGUGGAAAAACUGAAAUACGCAGUCUGGACACUGCACUGAGAUUCCGGCAUACUGGCACAGACACAGCUAUGUCGCAUCUUACAGACUACAACAGACAACAGGCUUAACUGCAAGAGGUUUACAGACAAAACUUUACAUAGAUGUGCUAGAAGAAUUCCAAACUGCUGUCAAAGAGAGUAUAGGAAUCGGUCUGAAGAGAACUCCGCCCAGUCCCUUCUGUUUGGUCACUGCAGCUGCACUCUGUAUGCACCUAUUAGCAACUUAACCUGUUGAAAGAAAAGAACGCAGGUGUCAGUACAGAUCCAGAUUUCCCCUUUCUUACAAGAAAAAACCCACAAAUGGCCAAGAUUUGCUUCUAUUAUUUGGCAAUAUUUUCAAGUUGCUUAUCAAUUUACAUUGUUAGAUCAUUGCCAUUUUAAUUCAAGAAAUAAUUCCAAGUGCUUACAAUUUUAUAUUACUGUUUUAUUAGAGAGACUAUUUUGUCCAGCUUCCUUUCAUACAAGAGAGGUUAGGGACCGGCCUAAAGACAUACAUUUGGCAAUUCCAUACCAAGGCCUAGAUCAUGAUUCAGAUGGCUCCAUCCUCUAGAGAGGCAUCUUUCUCAGCUGCAACCUAGUCCUUUUCCUGCCGCAUUAUUAUGUCUAACACAUUGUAAACUGAGAGAGGGUGCACCUAGCAUCACUACCCUAGGGAGUGCCUGUCUCUAGGACAGGUACACCAGGAUUCUUGGAAUUUUUUUUCUAAUGUUGAUAAAGUAAUCUGGAGCAACAACUUGAGUAGUGACACUAAAUGUGAAGAAAGGACUGUCACCUUGGCAGAGGGUGCUUCUGUCAACCUUAUGAAGAGUUUAUUGGGACCUGCAACAGGGCUGAAUGAGUAAACAAAAUGACUGUCC